GGUUGUGUAGUGUAGUGGUUAUCACUUUGGAUUUUGAGCUGGAAAAACGACUCAUCUUCCAAAAACCCCGGUUCGAAUCCGGGCACGACCU
rnacentral:tRNA from 1 species